rnacentral:rRNA from 1 species
AUUCCAGCUCCAAUAGCGUAUAUUAAAGUUGUUGCAGUUAAAAAGCUCGUAGUUGGAUUUCAGUCUUAGUUCGUCUGGCCCGCUCCCUUGAGGAGCCGAGUGCCGGUUGCGAGCUGGACUUCCUUCUAGCAUGGAACCUCUACCGUUAUGCGGCCGGGGGGGACAUCUGGAUCAUUUACUUUGAAGAAAUUAGAGUGUUCAAAGCAAGCUUACGCUGUGAAUAUAUUAGCAUGGAAUAAUAGCAUAGGACUCGGGUUCUAUUUUGUUGGUUUCUAGGACUCAAGUAAUGAUUGAUAGGGACAGUUGGGGGUACUGCUAUUAUAUGGCCAGAGGUGAAAUUCACGGAUUCAUAUAAGAGCAACUUAUGCGAAAGCAUUCACCAAGGAUGUCUUCAUCG